GUUACCUCUCUUUGCUGUCACUGUUGACCGGCAUAUUUUGCAGAUUAUGGUUUUCUGCUCACUAUCCGACACUUUAAAUCCAAACCAUGUCCAUAUUAUGGACGUUGCACCAGUCUUUUUUACGAGCUCCUCCUCCUCCAUACCUUCACCGCUCACAGCCAUUUUUCCACACCUGUGGCCUCCUCGUGGUUGUUGCCGGUCCCAGCAGGCCAAGCGUGUUGCAAUUUGAUGACAUAAUGAUCUAUCGCAAUAUGCCGGUAUAACAAAAAUCUCUAUCGUUGGCCAAAUUUUUAUCGCAUACCGCUUAUACCGUUUAUAUCGCCCAGCCCGAUAAUGUAGCCAAGUGUGAUACAGACUA